UUAUCUCGUACUGUAUGUUUCCCACAUUAAUUUCAUUUUUCUAGUCCAUAUUUUCCAAUAAAAUCUCCACAGGUGCCUUUCCUUACCUUAGUACUGAAGUUCCUGUUACAAAAUGUUGGGGCUGCCUUUUCCUCUGCUUUGUAAUGCGAGUUCUUCAUACAAGUUUUCUAUGCUUUCUUCAUAUUUAUUCACUGUUUGUACGAUACUGUUUCCUGUGGGAUUUCUUUUAAGUUGGCUAAAUACUGUGGUACCAAGUUCAUGAAGGCUACACUUAAUGUCCCCUCCCCUUUUUGCUAGGGUUGUGAUGUCAUAAUAAUGCUGUGCAGUCUUGUUGCCAUUGGGCUCUGUGAUCAUCUCCAAAGCACGAUACCUCCCACAAAGAUCUAGGCUUCCUAGAAAGCAUUGGGGCAGUUUCUUUUUUAUAUACGAGGUAGGCUGGGGACAGCCUGGAAGACAGGAUUUAUUGCAGGUGAGGGAAAUGGAGGUGUGUGCCUGUGGACAAGAAUUCCCAGAAUUCAGUGUGUGGAAUUCUUGGACAAAUGACAAACCCCUAGUUUUUGAUAGCUAACCUGCAAUUUGGGUGAAGCCUUCAGCACAUUUUGAAAUUUGUCAAUGUUUCAUUUAUUUUGACAAAAGAUAUUUCUAAGCCAAUCAGAAAGGUAGAUUUUGGAAGGGAAACAAAGGCAACAUGCACAGUGUUGAAAUGCUGCUCCGUAUGUGCCUCCCAUCCGGUGGUGCCUUUUCUCUUGCUGUUUGUUGACAAGAGUCAUUCUAUUAUCUCAGAACCAGGAUGUCUGUCCCCCAUGACUUUGGAUGGAAUAGAGAAGAGGAAAAAAAAAAAAUCUGAAACACAGGUGUUUGUUAACCAUUCAAGGGAAACAGGAAAAAACAAAGGAUUCAGGGAGCAUUUUUUUUUUUCAAAAGAGGACAUUCCAUUGUGA
rnacentral:lncRNA from 1 species